rnacentral:lncRNA from 1 species
GUUACCCACUGACCCUAUCUGACUGAACCACGGCUUUGGAGUCCUUCUCCAGGCCUUUCUAUAUGCCUUGGGUAUUCAUAACCACACUGCCUCCUCUUUCCUAAACCGUUCUCCUUGCCGGAGAUACAAAACCACCACGACCGGCCCUUUUCCGGCCGAUCUCUUGGCUGGGACUCUCUCUCUCUCUCUCUCUCUCUACGUUUUUCUCUUAUUUUACUAUGGAAUUGGAUAAUGAAACCAACAGGAUAUGUAGAAACCCGUUAAAAAAAAAAAGAAGAAAAGAAAAGAGAGAGAGAAUGGUCGAGUAUCUUUGUGGUUGAGUCGCGGGCAAUACAGAUCGAUCGGGAAAUUUGAAGUACGAGAAGUUCGAAGAAUGGAUCGUGAGUGAAGCAUGAGUUGAGAUAAGCUGCUCUACCAUUGUUAGAAAUGUCUUAGAUUGAUCAUACGGCAGUUUUGGAAGAAUUACAUUUUUGAAGCACGACGGUUUAGAAGCUCGACGUUUUUGAAGAUUGACGUUUCUUCAUCGCGAAG